UAAGGAAUAUUGGUCAAUGGACGCAAGUCUGAACCAGCCAUGCCGCGUGAAGGAUUAAGGCCCUCUGGGUUGUAAACUUCUUUUAUAGGGGAAGAAAUGUGACGGUUCUCCGUCACUUGACGGUACCCUGGGAAUAAGCACCGGCUAACUUCGUGCCAGCAGCCGCGGUAAUACGAAGGGUGCAAGCGUUACUCGGAAUUACUGGGCGUAAAGCGUGCGUAGGUGGUUGUUUAAGUCUGAUGUGAAAGCCCUGGGCUCAACCUGGGAAUGGCAUUGGAAACUGGGCAGCUAGAGGGCGGUAGAGGGUAGUGGAAUUCCCGGUGUAGCAGUGAAAUGCGUAGAGACCGGGAGGAACAUCUGUGGCGAAGGCGACUGCCUGGACCAGAACUGACACUGAGGCACGAAAGCGUGGGGAGCAAAC
rnacentral:rRNA from 1 species